rnacentral:lncRNA from 1 species
GCACUCAGCAAUACGGCUGCAGAUAAAAUACAGAGCAAAUCCAAAGCAAUUCAUUAUAUGAAGAAAAGUUAGUCAUCUACAUCAAAAGAGUGCAAUUGGUCAACGACCAUUUGAGGACAGACGUGUUCAGACAAACAAAAGUAAAUAACUAUUUUUUUCAUGUUUUUUUCUCUUUUUUUCGAAGAAUACAGUGUUAAAGAAGGAAAUAUACCCAUAAAUAUACAAAAUAACAGACCAUUUAAAAAGAGCAGAAAGUGGAAUAUUUAGGUAAUAUCCAAGGACACCAUCCGAAAGGUCCCCGAACAUUUGAUGCACACUCAUACUCAGAACUUUUUUACAAAAUAAGAGCAAUAAGAACACACUCAAUUUCUGCAAUCUACGUCUAUUGAGAGCUCAAGUUAAAAUGGAUUGCAUAUACAAGAACUCAUAGAUAGUGAUUCUGCUUUGCUAAGGGCUGUGGAAGGCUCAGUUUAGAAUGUAUUUCCCUGGGAUAUUCCUGGUUGAUAAUGUGUUUUAUCUCACCUUAAAUGUUUGUAUCACUACCACUUUUAAAAGUGGGAGCUGCAAAACGCAGUGUUUUAUGACCACCAACAACUAUAGUCUUUUAGAAUGUGGUUAGUUAAGGGAAAGUGAUUGUGUGUGUGUGUGUGUGUGAUGAUAAAUGUGUGUAUGUAGAACUGGUAACAAGUGGUUGGCGACCUUUGAAAAGAGUUUUAUGAAGAAGAAACAUAAUUGUGUGUAUAUAGUAUUAAUGGAGCUAUUAAAUUGGGUAGACAAGGGACUAGCAGCCACCUUUACACAUGGAUACAGUAUUAAUGGAGCUAUUAAAUUGGGUAGGUAAGGGGCUAGCAGCCUCCUUUACACAUGGAUACAGUAUUAAUGGUGCUAUUAAAUUGGGUAGACAAGGGACUAGCAGCCACCUUUACACAUGGAUACAGUAUUAAUGGUGCUAUUAAAUUGGGUAGGUAAGGGGCUAGCAGCCUCCUUUACACAUGAAUACAGUAUUAAUGGUGCUAUUAAAUUGGGUAGGUAAGGGGCUAGCAGCCUCCUUUACACAUGGAUACAGUAUUAAUGGAGCUAUUAAAUUGGGUAGGUAAGGGGCUAGGAUCCACCUUUACACAUGGAUACGGUAUUAAUGGUGCUAUUAAAUUGGGUAGGUAAGAGGCCAGGAACCACCAUUACACAUGGAUACGGUAUUAAUGGUGCUAUUAAAUUGGGUAGGUAAGGGGCUAGAAGCCUCCUUUACACAUGCAUACGGUAUUAAUGGUGCUAUUAAAUUGGGUAGGUAAGGGGCUAGGAGCCACCAUUACACAUGGAUACAGUAUUAAUGGUGCUAUUAAAUUGGGUAGGUAAGGGGCUAGGAGCCACCAUUACACAUGGAUACAGUAUUAAUGGUGCUAUUAAAUUGGGUAGGUAAGGGGCUAGGAGCCACCAUUACACAUGGAUACAGUAUUAAUGGUGCUAUUAAAUUGGGUAGGUAAGGGGCUAGGAGCCACCAUUACACAUGGAUACAAUAUUAAUGGUGCUAUUAAAUUGGGUAGGUAAGGGGCUAGGAGCCACCAUCACACAUGGAUACAGUAUUAAUGGUGCUAUUAAAUUGGGUAGGUAAGGGGCUAGGAGCCACCAUUACACAUGGAUACAAUAUUAAUGGUGCUAUUAAAUUG